AGUGAACGCUGGCGGUAGGCCUAACACAUGCAAGUCGAACGGCAGCACAGGAGAGCUUGCUCUCUGGGUGGCGAGUGGCGGACGGGUGAGGAAUACAUCGGAAUCUACUUUUUCGUGGGGGAUAACGUAGGGAAACUUACGCUAAUACCGCAUACGACCUACGGGUGAAAGCAGGGGACCUUCGGACCUUGCGCGAUUGAAUGAGCCGAUGUCGGAUUAGCUAGUUGGCGGGGUAAAGGCCCACCAAGGCGACGAUCCGUAGCUGGUCUGAGAGGAUGAUCAGCCACACUGGAACUGAGACACGGUCUAGACUCCUACGGGAGGCAGCAGUGGGAAUAUUGGACAAUGGGCGCAAGCCUGAUCCAGCCAUACCGCGUGGGUGAAGAAGGCCUUCGGGUUGUAAAGCCCUUUUGUUGGGAAAGAAAUCCAGCUGGUUAAUACCCGGUUGGGAUGACGGUACCCAAAGAAUAAGCACCGGCUAACUUCGUGCCAGCCGCCGCAGUAA
rnacentral:rRNA from 1 species